CGUGGAGCAGAGAGGGCCUUCCUGUACCAGGAUCUACAAACAGAAGGGGUUGUGCAAUUCAGGCUGCCACACCUGGGAAACAGGUUUUCCAAAUGCCUGGAGAUCUGCCUGAGCAUGGAGCAGAGAGGAUCUCACUAUAUUAUGAUCUAUGUCCAUAAGUGCUGGGGCAGCUCAGGCUGCUGAAGCAGAUGGCUGGGUGCUCAGAAUGUCUGGUGAUCUGCCUGAGUAUGAACAGAGAGGGUUUCCUUGCACCAAGAUCUCUGGACAGUCUUGAUGGUCCUAGUGAGCAAUUCUCCAAAAGUCUAGAGAUCUGUCUGAGUAUAGAUCAGAGAGAGUUGCACAAAGGUCUCUGCACAGGAUGGGUGGGGCGACUCUGGAUGCUGAACUAAGCAAGCAGGUGCUCUGAAACACCUGGAGAUUUUCCUGGGUGUGUAGCAGAGAGGGUUGCUCUGCAUCAGUCUCUACACAGGAAAGAAAUAUGGGAUAUAAUUCUGCAAAGGGCACUUUACUGGACUACUCAUUUUCAAGAGAGCAAAUUCUGUAAAUCCUGCAUAAAAAGAAGAACCGAAGAUAUGCAUAUUAAUGGGGAAUUCAGUGGCUGCAUUGUGACCAAGACACCACACAUUCAGCAAAAGGACAGAACACUUUAGAGGAUUUUGAAACUUAAGGCACAGAAUAACAUUCUGUUUUAAAAACAAAUGAACAAACAAAAACAGCUGCUAACUGCCAAUGGCAUUUUUUCACAGAACCAGGAAAAAAAAAACUAUUUUAAAUUUACAUAGAAUAAGAAGAGUCUGAAUAGCCAAGGCAAUUCUAAGCAAAAAGAACAAAGCUGGAGGUAUCACACUACCCAAUUUCUAACUA